ensembl:lncRNA
GGCUUGGCAACUAAAGAUACCAGCCCUUCUCAUCCCAGCCUUGUCAACACCCUCACCACAAAGCCGUAGCAACUUUUUAAGAGGACUGUGAUCUGGAAGAGCAAAAAGAUAGUUUUGGUCCAUGAAGCUCUCUGUUUUCCUCACCACCUGGGAAGUUCCUGCUGCCUCCAUGGAUGAUAUUGACACACACGUUUGUGACUCAAGACUUCUUAUCUUGGCUUUGGUUCUGUCUCCUGAGCUCCAGGAGACAGCUCAGAUGCCUCUCUAUUAGACAGCUCUACCUGGAUAUUUUACAGAUACCUGGAACUCGACAUGUGCCAAACUGAACAGCUUUUCUUCCUCACCAAACCUGCUCCUCCACCAGCAUUUCCAAUCAAAUAAAAGCAGGUGAAAUUGCCUAAGCCCCAAACCUAGGCGUCUUCCUCCACACACCCAUAUCAACUCUCAUUUGC